UACAGAGGACUUUUAUUGAAGUGGAUUACGUUCACUUAUGACCUUUGUGCCAAAGAAGUCAAGGCUAUACCUAAUCAUUGUGACCUAUGUGUCGAUUAGGUAGUGUAUCCAUUACUCAUAAAUAGAGACCAUUAGCAAUAUUCAAAACCAUGCUCAAAAGAGGACCUGUUACAGGAUGAAAAUGAAAAUUUAUUCUAUAAAUGAGCAAACAGAUGAGUGGUUUUGAGAGGGGGUUUAAGGGUAAACCUUCACCUAGGCUUGUGAAGAUGGACAUGUUUGCAACACUGACCCGAGAUCCAAGCAAGCUUGCUCAGCUCGAUCUGCAUCAUCCUUUAUUUUUGACAACUGGGUAAAGUCGUUAUAAGCCUCCAGAACAAUUAGAAUCGUACAAAUUGAUUUGUGAAUCAAAACUCAAACCAUUGUAUUUGGUUGCCCUUCUAAAAAAUUUAGGAGGAGAGAAGUGCAUUGUUUUUACAUCUUCUAUGGAAUCAACUCAUCAUCUAUGCACCUUACUAAAUUUUUUUGGUGAUCUACAAAUCAAGAUCAAGGAGUAUUCAAGUCUUCAACAUCAAUCUGUAAUAAGAAGCCCUUUGUACUUUGUCGUUUACUCAAUAAUGAAGAAAAGAGUAACAAAGGUGGACCUGCAAAGUCUAAGCCAGCACUGUCUGAUGUUACAGAACUUGUUCAGAGUAACAAUGACAACGACUAUGAUAAAGCAUAUGUUGCAGAAAAUCAAGCAGCAAAAGUUGAUUUAAGUGAGGACAUAGAACUUCUCAUGGGUGCGUUCUAUGUCCCUCCAGAGGACUCUCCAUCCAGUUUACCCCUCACCACUCCUGAUGUUUCAGCUCCGAUCACUGUCAAAACUUCUCAUAAAGAAACCCAAUCUGAACCAACAUUGGCUCCAGCAUCUCAAGAAUUGCCGGAGCAACUGAAUACCGUCCUAUUAAUUGCAUAACAAGAUUUGACAAUGCAGCACCCCUUGCAUGUAACGAUGAUUAUUA